GUGCUCACUUUGGCAGCACAUAUAUUAAAAUUGGAAUGAUUCAGAGAAGAUUAGCAUGGCCCCUGCUCAAGGAGGACUUAAAAAUUCAUGAAGCAUUGCAUAUUUGU